AAUAUAAACAGUAUUUUUUUUUUUGUUUUUUUUUUUUUAUGUUGACUUUGAAUAUAAAUGCUUUGAUUUUUACUCACUGUUUCGAACAGGAAGAUAAAUUGUGAUGCACCGCCUCGAACAACUCUCAACAUCUCUGUUUUUCACCACAAAAUGUAAACAUUAGUAGAGGUAAAUGUUUCUAAAACAACAUUAAAGGGAUAGCUCAACUUUCUUAGUUAGCCAUUAGCUCCUGCUUCUGGUACCGACACAUCUGGAGAUGUAGGGUACUAACUGCUUAUAACCUCUUACCAGGACCCCACUUAAAAAAUAAAUCUCUAAUUCUAACAUUUCAGGGCAUUUAAGGUUUUAUUAAUUGAACGUAUAAAUUUCAGGUGGGAUGCAAAAAGGGAUCCACUUUUUUAUGAGAUCAGAAAUGUUCUUGCUCAUUUUAAGUCAUUGUGUUUUCUUUGUCCUCACUGGAAACACUGUCAGAGUCUGUCUGUAAAAUCUGUUAAUGAUGUGAUGUAAAAAUUCUAAAACAAAGUCAUUAAUCUGAAUUUAAACCUAUAUCUCUGCUGCUACCUUUCCAGCUAUGACUUCCAAGCACUCGGCUAGAUGGGGACAUUUUAGUUGCCUCUUUGCCUUGUGUCUCUGCUGCACUAAGCAGAUCUGAUGACAGAUCUUCCUGUGAUUAUUAUUGAACUAAUUAAAGCAUUUUUAGAAGUGAAAUCCACCAUAACCUUGAAUUACUUUAACUGUUGUGUCCCAUCACUGCCGCACUUUAUAUCUUUAAAAUUAUUCGGGAAAAUUGUAAUGCAUAUAAUCCAGCAACUGCUAAAAAAAAUGCAGGGAUAAAUGAUUUUGAAAUGUUUGUCAAUUGUAAAAAUAAAAGUAAAAUGAUCAAUACCAAGA